rnacentral:misc_RNA from 1 species
AUUUAGUAGGCAAUAGCAUUUCAGUAUAUAUGAAAUGGCUUGUGCAGCAAGAAGUUAACUAAAGAACAGUGACUAGAGGACUAGUACAUUGCAUGCCUUGUCUAGGUAGGAAGGAACUUGACUGCAGCCAGCCUAUAUGUGAAAUUACAUACAAUAUAUUUUCUUAUAUGUUGAUUUCUUGGGAACUAUUGCCAACUGCAAAUGAGUA